GUUGGGCACUUAAUAAGACUUCAGAUUAAACAUUGAAAUGGUGACUGAAAAUCAGAGGCGCUGCCUAUCCUGUCAGGUUUAGUAAACUGCUGGUAUGAGGGAGCUAAUCCAGUGGGAAGUGAAUUGCCUUAAAGUGUCCCUUGUUCUGCUGGGUUCAACCUACAUACAACCAGCGCGUCCUGACUUCCGCUCUCGUGGUUUUCUGGGACAGUCACCCCUUUUGUUAAACAACUGCCCUCAAUCUUCCAUAAUGGUGGUGGUAUUGCUUUCAAAUACCAGCAAUCUGCCGAGUAUUUGCAGUGACUUUGGAUGUUCUACGACUCAAGGGGCAGGCAUAGGCUCACUGUCCACUGAAGAGAAGUGCAGCAAGACUCCCUGGGCACCAAGAAGAGCAGGGCGGCAAAGUGGCUUGAAAGCCACUGGGAGAGCCUCGUUGGGCAGAACUGAGAAAGACAUAACUUGAAGAGCAGGAGGUGAUUUGUUCUUUAGCACAGAGGAAAAUUAAGUAGGGCUGGCCCCAAUAGAAAGGAUUUUGUUGUUUAGAUUUUUGCCAAAAAAUUCUUUAUUUCCUCCAGAGCUGUAGAAAAUGAGAUGUCAGCUAGGAGUGGUGGCACUUGCCCCUAACCACUUGACUGGGAUGCUGAAGCAGGUAGAUAGGGAAUUAGGCCAACUGUGCUACACAGUGAGCUACAGGUCAUCCUGAGACAUAUAGAGACCCUGGCGUGAAAAAAAGAGGAAUCUUCUUAUGCAAAUUCCUUUUACCCCUCAAAAUCUCUAUGAUAAAUUGAGAAUUACUCCAGCGGUAUUUUGUCGUAAAGAUUACUUCUUUUACUUACACCAGGUGGUGAUGAGGAAUUUGCAAUCCUGUCAUGCUGUUGCUCAGAAUAAAGGGUGUGUUAUAGCUAUAAUUGUUUAGUUGUCACAGUAAAGGAACCUAAUGUGUAAAUACCUAUUAGAGGAAAGGGAAAAAUGCAUGUAAUUAACAAAAAGAUAUAGAGCGGUACAUAAAAUAACAACAGGAUAAGAAGUGGGAGUGUCUAAAACAGUGCGAAAACAAAGCAGAAACAGUGGAAUAAAGCUCUGUGGUCUCAAAGUUUCUCAAAAUUACAAGUUGGACAAGCAAAUACUGUUCAGCCAAUAGCAUGAAUCAAAUUGUCUAUUUUAAGUAGUUAGUAAACCACAUCAUUGUGAAUGGAUGAUAUGAAAUACUUUCCUACGGUCCUUGUACCAUGUAUUUGUCAAACAUGUUUUGAUACUGUUUCUAAUCAUGCUUGACAUGAAUCACCUAAAUAAAAACUGGUUUCGUGAAAAAUUUUGCUGUGGUUUUCUAAACUAGGAAAGUCUUGCAGGCAGAUACAGAAAUCAGUAACUGAGAGUCAGACACUUGGUCACCUGCUGAGUUCAAAGCCUUGUGUCAGGUGUGGAAGCAAAAUAAUAUAAGCAGGUAUCUUCCCUAGCUUCAAGAAACUUACUCUGGUGGAGGAGACUGCAUAACAUAAUAUAACUGCAAUACAUGUGACUCCUGGUAUCCCAAACACUGACAGGAACUCAGGAACAUAGCAGUGACAAAUUAUCACCAGCUAUACCUUUGACGAAAGAGAUGUCAUUUGACAUUGGACUUACCAAGCCUGCUUUUAAAUAUGUAUUUACAUAAUGUACAAUAGACUGAAAUCUAAUAAGAAUAAGAAGAAAAUAAGCUGAAUUGUCUGGGAUGAUCUAUCCCAACUUUUUCUGAAGUAUAACCUAUGACAACUUUAUGGUAACUUUAAUCACCCAAGAUCCUCCUCUAGGAAAAGAUUCCAGCAUAGGUAAAUUCAAGACAAGCUUUAUAAUGCUCUGUUCUCAAUGUGGGAUGGCGUAUACAGCCACCUGAGCUGUGGAGAACGGCAGUGCAGGUAAAGAAUGCACACCAGGAGAAUGCAGAACAGUUAAACAGUGUACAUCAGGAGAAUGCAGUACAGGUAAACAAUGUAUACAACAGGAGAAUGCAGUACAGGUAAACAAUACACACCAAGAGAAUGCAGUACAGGUAAAGAAUGCACACCAGGAGAAUGCAAUACAGUUAAACAGUAUAUACAACGGGAGAGUGCAGUACAGGUAAACAUUGUGUACAACGGGAGAAUGCAGUACAGGUAAACAUUGUACAUCAGGAGAAUGCAGUACAGGUAAACAUUGUGUACAACAGGAGAACUCAGUACAGGUAAACAAUGUGUACAAGCAGGUUAGUGAGCAAACUCUGCCCUCAAUAUGUCUUUCCCUAUUUGUUCUUGUUUAAAUAUUCAGCCAUAAUGUUCUUCUCUGUCCCAUUGUCAUUUAACCAUAGCAAUUUCACCUUUUUAGAAAAGUAGUUUGUCGUAUUUCUGUAUGUUGCUUCCUGUUUACUUUCUUGUUUACUAAUGCUGUCUUUAGUAAGUAAAAAAAAUGCAGAGAUGCAUUUUAUUUUAAAGUUAUUCUUUUUCUUUAACAUUUAACUCUGAUUUUUCUAAUUUUUCUUUUUUAUUUUUC